rnacentral:rRNA from 1 species
AACGAACGCUGGCGGCAGGCUUAACACAUGCAAGUCGAACGCCCCGCGAGGGCUUUGGCAUACGUGUGGGUAACGCGGGGGAACAUACCCUUUUCUACGUGAUAGCUCUUGGGAACUGGAAUUAAUACCGUAGACGCCCUACCGGGGAAAGAUUGAGCGGGGAAGGAUUGGCUCAGGUCGCAUUAGCUAGUUGGUGGGGUAAAGGCCGACCAAGGCAACGAUCCGUAACUAGUCUGAGAGAAUGAUCAGCCACACUGGAGCUGAGACACGGUCCAAACUCCGACGAGAGGCAGCAGUGGGGAAUAUUGGACGAUGGGCGAAAGCCUGAUCCAGCCAUGCCGCGUGGGUGAAGAAGGUCUUCGGAUUGUAAAGCACUUUAAGUUGGGAGGAAGGGCAGUAAGUUAAUACCUUGCUGUUUUGACGUUACCAACAGAAUAAGCACCGGCUAACUUCGUG